rnacentral:rRNA from 1 species
ACAAUGGGCGAAAGCCUGAUCCAGCCAUGCCGCGUGUGUGAAGAAGGUCUUCGGAUUGUAAAGCACUUUAAGUUGGGAGGAUAGGGCAGUAAGNGGAUACCUUGCUGUUUUGACGUUACCGACAGAAUAAGCACCGGCUAACUCU